UUGCCCUGUAUUUGGCUCCAUCCAUCUUCCCAUCAACUCUGACCAGCUUCCCUGUCCCUGCUGAAGGGAAGCACCCCCAGAGCAUGAUGCUGCCACCACCAUAUUUGACAGUGGGGAUGGUGCGUUCACAGUGAUGUGCAGCAUCACAGAACAUCCAGAAACAACAGAGAAUCUUCUGAAUGUUGUUGAUUGCAGCAGACAGUAAAACAAAUGCAGCUCAGCAGCCUUCAGACUGAAACGAGAUGCUGCAGAGGAAAACGUCUUUUCUGAAAAUGCACUGGGCUUCACAUUCACGUCCUUGUCCACAGCGAACACGGAGCAGAGAAUUUCCACCCAGUUUUUCUUUGUCACAGAAUAACAAAGAGAUUGAAAAGCAACCAUCUCCAAAUAUGGAGCUCUCUGCACCAGAGCACACCGGAGCAACGAAUAUUAUCUUCAGAAGAGCUCUGACCACUUCAGGAUGUUUGCUGUCCACCAACUGAAACCUAAGAAAGAGAAUCCUGGGACUCUGACAACAACAACAACAUCCAUCCAUUCUCUUCCACUUAUCCCUGUCAGGGUUGCUGGAGCCUAUCAGGGUACACUGUGGACAGCUCGCCAGCCUGACGCAGGGCUAACACAUACAGAAAAUCAUUCACACUCACAGUCAGCUCUAUGGGCAUUUUAGAUUCUCCAGUUAACCUAGCCCCACUAAUUGCAUGUCUUUAAACUGUGGGACGAAGCUGGACAAAGAAACCAUUAUGGCUGAGAAGACAAACAAAGAAACAGGAGGGCAACUGGAAGUACAAAGAACUUAACAAAAAAUCUGAACUUGUAAAAGCUAAGAAAACAGAUCACAACAGGCUGGAAAACAGAGACACAGGGAGACAGGCAGAAGGACCGCAGGGGCAACAUGGAGGAUGAUCACACAGAUGGCCUGACAAGGAACAGAGGAAAGCAGAGACUUUUGCUGUGUCCAAAUUCAGGGGAAGGAUCCUUCGAAGGAUUCUACCUACCUGUGUCAUGUAGGAAGGGUCUUUCGACGGCAGUGUAGGCCAGAAGUGAGCAGAUGUGAAAUUGGACAGCCUUCUAGCCUUCGUUCAAGUCCGCCCUUAAUUCCGGUUUUUUUCCAGUCACUAGCCCCACAGCGUGAAAAUUUUAUAAUGGACCCAACAAUGUCGCUAUGUUUAUGUGUCUUGGUGGCUGUUUCUUGUUCUGUCUGUGUUUUUAAGUCUUUGCAGGUCCCUGAUUGGAUAAACUGACGGCUGCUGAUUGGUCCCCUGAUCAUGUGGUUGCUUUGAAAAUCUGUCACCAGCAGUUGUCCCGGGGCAGCCACUGACAGCAGCAGCAGACCUGACCCUCCAAAAGCUGUGUCAUUCGUGUUUGAGAUUCUCGUAACUUACCGAGCUUUGUAUAUAGUGUGUACAUUAGUUUUCACUUGUAAAUAGCACAUUGUAAAUAGCACUGAAAUAGAAGGGGUGAGCUGCCUUAUUAUUUUUCCUUGUACUGUUUUCUCCUGUUUAUUUCAGUUAGGGAGUUAGGUGUAGCGUUUGUCUUUUGUUUGGUUUUUGUUUCACAUAGGGUUUUAGACAACACCCCCUCUCCUGACUUAGCUUGUUUUGUUUGUUAUUUUGGCCUUUUUUCACCCCGGAGCUUCAUUUUCAGUGUAGAAAAAUAAACCACCGUUCACUAAGAAACUGGGUUUUCUGUGUAUGGUUUUGGGGACCAGGGCGGGGUCACUUCCUUUUUUAACUCUUAUGCUACGUUCCUGUACCCCUAGACAGGGGCGUAACA